GGAUCUCUGGUACAGCAUAAGGAUACACUUAGUCAGGAAACUGCAACGCAGGUUAAAAGUGGAGAUGAAUACAAGAGAUUUCUGUUGAGAGCCAAGGAAGGAUGAAGUAGAGAAAUUCAAAGCAGGAGGUUUCCAGUCUUAUUCAAGAGGAAAAGCACUCCUAACUGGGAAGCUGAUGUGAACAGCCAUAUAUAUGGGCAACAUGAUUAUAAAGGA